rnacentral:rRNA from 1 species
UACGUAGGGUGCGAGCGUUAAUCGGAAUUACUGGGCGUAAAGUGUGCGCAGGCGGCAGAGCAAGUCGAGUGUGAAAGCCCCGGGCUUAACUUGGGAAUUGCGCUCGAAACUACUUUGCUGGAGUGUGGCAGAGGAAGGUGGAAUUCCACGUGUAGCGGUGAACUGCGUAGAGAUGUGGAGGAACACCAAUGGCGAAGGCAGCCUUCUGGGCCAACACUGACGCUCAUGCACGAAAGCGUGGGGAGCAAACAGG